rnacentral:rRNA from 1 species
UACAGAGGUGGCAAGCGUUGUUCGGAAUCACUGGGCAUAAAGGGCGCGUAGGCGGCGAGGCAAGUCGGGUGUGAAAUCCCUCAGCUCAACUGAGGAACUGCGCCCGAAACUACCUUGCUAGAGUGCAGGAGAGGAGAGUGGAACUCCUAGUGGAGCGGUGAAAUGCGUAGAGAUUAGGAGGAACGCCGGUGGCGAAAGCGACUCUCUGGCCUGUAACUGACGCUGAGGCGCGAAAGCUAGGGGAGCAAACGGG